GUUUCCCUGGGCUCAGCGGUGCCUGUGCUCUAGCGCAGAGACGCGGGUGAGAGCCUCACUUCCCACAGGCCCUCGGCACGGGGGCGGGGCUCCGGCGGAGGCGGUGAUUGUGGCGGCUCAUUUGUAAAUGCUGCGGAGAUUCAGGCGUCGGUUCAUGCUACUGAGCGGCGCGGCCUUCACGGAGCGGUAUUGGAAAUCAGUAGUUCUUCUAGCCUUUGCAUUGUUUAAAUAUAGUGUCAUUGGACUAAGAUGUUCCUGAUGCCAACCUCUUCAGAGUUAAACAGUGGGCAGAACUUCCUAACCCAGUGGAUGACCAAUCCUUCUCGGGCCGGGGUCAUAUUAAAUCGUGGAUUUCCUGUUUUGGAAGCAGACAAAGAGAAGCAAGCAGCUGUGGACACUUCUACCAGCUUUCCUGUUAAAGGCACACAUUGUUCUGACAGCUUCAGCUUUAUAAAUGAAGAAGAUUCACUUCAUGAAGAACAGGAGUUGGAGUCAAACAGGCCUUACAAACCACAGUCAGAUAAAUCUGAAACCCAUACAGGCUUUCCUCGCAUUACAAAGGGACCACAGAUAGUGGCAUGUCACGACGCUCCUGGACACCAGGAAGAGAACAAAAAUGACUUCAUCCCAGAUCUUGCGAGUGAAUUCAAAGAAGGGGCUUAUAAAGACCCACUUUUUAAAAAACUUGAACAGCUGAAAGAAGUACAACAGAAGAAGCAGGAACAAUUGAAGAGGCAACAGAUGGAGCAACUCCAGAGACUCAUGGAAGAACAAGAGAAGCUGCUCACCAUGGUGUCUGGGCAGUGCACACUUCCAGGUUUGAGUGUACUGCCUGAUGAUCAGAGCCAGAAGCACAGAUCUCCAGGAAAUGCCACCACUGGAGAGAGAGCCACACGCUGCCUCCCAUCGUAUGUCUACCCAGACCCAACCCAGGAAGAAACAUGCGCUUCCAACAUUUUAUCCCAUGAGCAAAGCAACUUCUGUAGAACUGCUCAUGGAGAUUUUGUCUUAACUUCAAAACGUGCUUCUCCUAAUUUAUUUUCUGAGGCACAGUGUCAAGAAGCACCUGUGGAAAAAAGUAAUUUAAAAGAAGAAAACCGUAACCAUCCUACAGGAGAAAGUAUUUUAUGUUGGGAGAAAAUGACAGAACAAAUUCAGGAAGCUAAUGUUCAGAACUUAAAAAAACAUGAUGAUUCCUCAGAAGUGGCUAAUAUUGAAGAAAGGCCCAUUAAAGCUGCUAUUAGAGAAAGGAAGCAGACCUUUGAAGACUACUUAGAAGAACAAAUUCGGUUGGAAGAGCAAGAACUGAAGCAAAAACAGCUGAGGGAAGCAGAAGGACCACUGCCAAUCAAAGCAAAACCAAAGAAACCAUUUUUAAAACGAGGAGAAGGUUUAGCCAGAUUUACUAAUGCUAAAUCUAAGUUUCAAAAAGGGAAAGAAAGUAAACUAGUGACUAACCAGAGCCCUUCCGAGGACCAGCCGCUAUUUAAAAUGGAUAGACAGCAACUCCAGCGGAAAACCGCUCUCAUAAAUAAGGAGCCGUGUGCAGACCACCCUGCCCUGAGAAAGGAGAGUAAAGCUGGAACCAAGAGUGGUUCUGUCGCCCUCAGUCAGAAGCCGAAAGUGCUGAAGUGUAGUGACAGGAAAACUCUUUCUCCAUCAGGACUGAAAAUACACACAGGGAAGAAAUGCGACGGGCAAUGUAGAGACCAGAUCAAAUUUGAUAAAAGAGUCGCAUCUAAUAAUAAAGAAAAUGUGCCUGAGAGUCGAAAACCUUGCGAGGCUGGCUGCACAGGGUGGAAUAAGACGCCAGGUAAAGACGGACCUCCUCUUUCAGCGGGGCCGGCCAGCCGCCUGGCUUCCAAGAGCCCCAUGAGGGAGACCAUGAAAGAGUCUGAAUCUUCUCUUGAUGUUUCUCUUCAGAAAACGUUAGAGACUUGGGAACGAGAAAAGGAAAAGGAAAAUUUGGAAUUAGAUGAAUUUUUGUUUUUAGAACAAGCUGCUGAUGAAAUAUCAUUUUCUAGUAAUUCCUCAUUUGUACUGAAAAUCUUAGAAAGGGAUCAACAGAUCUGCAAAGGUCACCGGAUGUCUUCCACCCCUGUCAAAGCUGCGCCACAGAAGACAAAUCCGGCAGAUCCCGUUAGUCAGUGUAGCCGCGGUGAGGGUUUGGACCACACUGCACGUGAGAAGGACGGUGAGUGUGAAGUCACACCCAAACAACUCCGUUCACUGUCCUCAGAUGAUGAAUCGAGGGAACAGCCUUGUAAAAUCAGUAGGAAAGCCGUCCAAAAGAGCACUUCUGAAAAUCAAACGGAAUGGAAUGCAGGUGACGAUGAAGGUGUUCUGAACAGUGACAGUAGCAGUGACUCUGAGGAACAGCUUGAUAUUACCAUAAAACCCUCAACUGAGGAUAGAGAAAGGGGCUUCAGCAGCAGAGAGGACAGCCCACACGUCUGUGAUGGUAAGGGGCCUUUUAAGGACACCGGGGCCCAAGAAGAUAAAAGGAGAGACGUCGAUCUGGAUUUGUCUGAUAAAGAUGACGGUAGCGAUGAGUCUGUCCUAGAAAGCGUAAAACACAAAGCGUCUGAGCCCGCAAGACCCUCACCCCUAAGUAUGAGUAAAAUGGACUUUGACGACGAGAGAACUUGGACUGACCUUGAAGAGAACAUGUGUAAUCAUGACGUUACUCUGGGGAAUGAGUCCACUUACGGGACGCCGCAGACAUGCUACCCUAAUAAUGAAAUAGGUGUCCUGGACAAAACAAUAAAAAGGAAGAUUGCACCAGUCAAGAGGGGAGAAGACUUGAGCAAGUCCAGGAGGAGCGGAAGUCCUCCUCCUACGUCGCAGCUGAUGAUGAAAUUCUUUCCUGCUUUGAAACCAAAACCGAAGUCAGAUUCACACUUGGGAACUGAACCCAAGUUAAACAUAAGUCAAGACCAACCACCUGGUGACAAUGCUCGAUCCCACGUUUUGAGAGAGAAAAUUAUUGAAUUGGAAACAGAAAUAGAAAAGUUUAAAGCCGAGAACGCAUCUUUAGCUAAACUUCGCAUUGAACGAGAAAGUGCCUUGGAAAAACUCAGGAAAGAAAUUGCAGACUUUGAACAACAGAAAGCAAAAGAAUUAGCUCGAAUAGAAGAGUUUAAAAAGGAGGAAAUGAGGAAGCUACAAAAGGAACGUAAAGUUUUUGAAAAGUAUUCUACAGCUGCAAGAACUUUUCCAGAUAAAAAGGAACGUGAAGAAAUACAGACUUUAAAACAGCAAAUAGCAGAUUUACGGGAAGAUUUGAAAAGAAAGGAAACCAAAUGGUCAAGUACACACGGCCGUCUCAGAAGCCAGAUAGAAAUGUUAGUCAGAGAGAACACAGACCUCAGGGAAGAAAUAAAAGUGAUGGAACGAUUCCGACUGGAUGCCUGGAAAAGAGCAGAAGCCGUAGAGCGCAGCCUUGAGGUGGAGAAGAAGGACAAGCUCGCGAACACAUCUGUUCGAUUUCAAAACAAUCAGAUGUCUUCAGGAACCCAGGUAGAAAAAUACAAGAAAAAUUAUCUUCCAAUGCAAGGCACAGCACAGCCGCCUCACACGCCCGGCAGCUUGUUGGCUGACCGCCUGCCUUCGCUCUCCUCCUUCAGGCCAUUCUCCUGUAACAUCCAGCUCCGUUACACUUUUUAACAUGUAGGCAAUCCACCUCGAAGAUCCAAGUCUGCACCUCCUCGUGAUUUAGGCAAUUCGGAUAAGGGACAAGCUGCCUCUCCCAGGGAGCCACUUGAACCACUGAACUUCCCAGAUUCUGAAUAUAAAGAGGAAGAGGAAGACCACAACAUACAGGGAGAAAUCAGUCAUCCUGAUGGAAAGGUGGAAAAGGUUUAUAAGAAUGGGUGUCGUGUUAUACUGUUUCCCAAUGGAACUCGGAAGGAAGUGAGUGCAGAUGGGAAGACCAUCACCGUCACUUUCUUUAAUGGUGACGUGAAGCAGGUCAUGCCAGACCAGAGAGUGAUCUACUACUACGCAGCUGCCCAGACCACUCACACGACGUACCCGGAGGGACUGGAAGUCUUACAUUUCUCAAGUGGACAAAUAGAAAAGCAUUUCCCAGAUGGAAGAAAAGAAAUCACGUUUCCUGACCAGACUGUUAAAAACUUAUUUCCUGAUGGACAAGAAGAAAGCAUUUUCCCAGAUGGUACAAUUGUCAGAGUACAACGUGAUGGCAACAAACUCAUAGAGUUUAAUAAUGGCCAAAGAGAACUACAUACUGCCCAGUUCAAGAGACGGGAAUACCCAGAUGGCACUGUUAAAACCGUAUAUGCAAACGGUCAUCAAGAAACGAAGUACAGAUCUGGUCGGAUAAGAGUUAAGGACAAGGAGGGUAAUGUGCUAAUGGACACGGAGCUGUGACGAUCCCUGUGUGAUCAUGAAGUAACAGUAACUGAUUUUUCUUGUUAAAAAAAUGUACAUUUAUUGUGGAUUCUGUUUAAUUUAUUGUGUAUGUGUGGGGAAAAGAUUGGAUUCUAAAAUAAAUGUUUAUCCUGUGGCAUCUUCCUUUUUAUAUUCUUUGAAAUGCAAUGAUAGCUCUCAUUUAUAAUUCACCUACCCUGCCUUUCAACAGAGUAAGGAAAGCAUUUUUACUCUUUAGAAACUGUACAGGUUUUUACAAUAAGUGGGUGUGUUUAUUGGUUAGAAAUGGCUAUAAAAACCAAGAAGUACAGGAAGUACAUUACAUAGAUGUCCCACAGGCACAUCAGCCAUAGAGCACUGGACUUGCACAGAAAGUGUACUCAAGGAGUAAACACGUCUCUGUAGCCAAAAUAUUACUAUGUUCAGUUACUACCAAAAUUAAAGCAUUUGAGCUACUACAGAGGUUCAUUCAUUAUAAUAGAAUGGGGAGUUACAACAGUGGAUGAAUAUAAAUAGGUCACAUACAACCAGUAGUAAUCAUAGUGAGGAGAAAAGUUAUAACAAGGCAGACACUGUAAUGUCUCAAAAUGGGACACCUGAGAGGAGAAGGGGCGUGAACGAUGAGUAGCCGGUGUUAACCCAUGGACCACCACUACCUUCCAUCUUACCACAGUGACAUUACUGUAGCCUCAUGGAGGCAAGAUGUCCCUGAAGGAUGGGCAAGUCACCUACUUGUAAAUUUAUAUAAUAAUUACAGAUUGGUCUAGAUAGACCUUACCUGUCACAUACACCAUGAAUCAGGUUUUGUUAAUGAAAUCUAUCAAUUCCAGGUGACUUAACAAUAUGAAAAAUAAAACUUUUCAAAGAA